AAUGGAAUGGCUGAAGUUAAGCGAUAAAUUGUAAAUUUAUUUAUGAUUAAAUAAAAUCUUCUAUUA
rnacentral:tRNA from 1 species